GGAGAGAGUAGCACAGAAGCCAGCCCUGGGAAGGAGGAAGACUUUGGUGCGUGGGUGGAAUGUGUGGGGCUGAAAUUACUGAAGUCCGAGUAGAAAAAAGUAAGCCCUAUCCUCCGGCAGCUGUUCAUCACCCCAUGGGUGAGCCGUACCCAGUGACCUUAAGGGCAGUCACAUUACCCAGGCUCAGCCAAUCAUGUUCUCUUUCCUGAGAAUUGGGACCUGGAGGUAAAGGGCAGCUAAUUAGUCUCCUCACGUGUCUGGAACUAUAACGUGGGCAAAUAAACAUCAGACAGGGCUACAGAGGUGGUCAGCCAGGGGCCAGAGCACUGGAGCAGGGGGUUCUCAGCAGAAAGUGGGUGGAGGCUCAGGCAGCAGGUAGGGGCCUAAAUAUGUGGUCAGGGGCAUGUGGGCAGGAUCCUGGGCCUGAGUGGGAGGGAUGGGCAGCAGACAGGGAGGCCGGGGGGACAGCCCUGGGAUAGGACUGGGAGAAAUGCCUGGCUUGUUCAAAAGCCCAGUGACUUGGGUGGGGACACAGAGGCGCUUGGGCAGACCCACAGCCAUGAGACCAUGCAAAGGUCCUGGUGCCCAACCUCUGGAUUCUUACAGGACCCAUCCUGGGGCAGAGCCAGGAGCAGAGCUGAGCCUGGGAGUGAGGGCAGAGCAGCCUCAGGUGUGGGGAUGGGGCUCUGGAGCCAGGGCAGGAGGGGAGACUGAGGACCGCCGCACGCCAUCCAGGAGAGACAACCUGGCUCUCCAGGGUCCUCAGCCCAACAGCCUCGAAUUAUCCUGCCAUUAGUGGUGAUCCAUCCCUUCUGAGCACUGUGCCAUUUCAUCACACCAUCUCAGCAUCCAACAUUAGGAGAUAAGUGCGCUCACAACAUAUGUCAUUACUCAUUAAGGGACUUUUUCUGGAUUAUGGCUGGGGCUUAAUGACUUGUUAAAGAUGUUUAACACUUACAAUUUUGUUUUUAAUUUAGGAAGCAGCAUGAUCAAACUGCACCCUGAGACUCUCUCCUCGAUUUGGUGAAAUCUGGAGAUGGGCCGGCUCAGAGGCUGUCUGUGCAGGGGAGGUGAUCCUUAAAUUGAAUUGCAGCCCUCCGAGGGGUGUUUGCCCCGUCAGCGGCUGCCAGGAUCUGACAUGUUAAUGGGGCUGAGGAAACAAUGGGUUUCAGAGGUAAUUGCUGAAGCAAUGACUUCCAGGCAACAUUUGACUUAAAAAAGGAGGGUUGCUGCUGCUAUUGCUGCUGCUGCUGCCGCCGGGAAGGGGUUGGGGGGGGCUCUGCUCCAGGCCUGUCUGCAGAAUCCCAGCCAGGAUUGCCUACCUGCAGAGCUCAGGUGGGUCUGCGCUCCACAGCAGCCCCAGGUGCUGACAGACCACUUCCUUUCCUUCCUGCCCUUUGUUUUGCCCAUUGUCUACGCUGGGAGUUGUUUCUCAGGGGGACUGCCAGGCAGAGGGGUUGGAAUAGCAAGUUCCUGAUUACAAAUUUCAUAAGAAGAUGGACUUGAGUCAGAAGGGGCUGUUCACACUUGCCCCCACUGGGCAGGAGCCAACUCUGUGGGUUGGGGUAAGGCACACUUUCGUGAGGAUUCCGUGAGUUACUGCAAUCAACUCUUUGAGGUGGGAAAUAUGAUGUCCAUUUUACAAAUAAGGAAAUUGAGGCCCUGAGAACUGAACUGCUGGAACCAGAACCCAAAUUUAGGCAACUGAUUGCCACUUUCUCUUGCCGCCACGUUAGAUCCAUUGUUAGGCAGUCACUGCUUACUGGUUAUGCGGCUCGGGACAAGUCACUUUCUCUCCAUGUUGGGACAAACAUUACACCACAAGCUGGUUCUCCUCACUGUCGGACUGCAUUUCGGCUUCUUGGAGAGUCUCCAACCUGCCAGGAAUGCUGCACUCUGAUACAGAAGGAGAAUCUGAGAUCUCUCAAGUGUGUUUGCUCAAAAAGGAAAAAUUGGGGAAAUCACAUAAGAAACUUUAGUAAGCUGGGUGCAGUGGCUCACGCCUGUAAUCCCAGCCCUUUGGGCGGCUGAGGUGGGUGGAUCACGAGGUCAGGAAAUCGAGACCAUCCUGGCUAACACAGUGAAAUCCCGUCUAUACUAAAAAUACAAAAAAAUUAGCAGGGCAUGGUGGUGGGCGCCUGUAGUCCCAGCUACUCGGGAGGCUGAGGCUGGCGAAUGGCGUGAACCUGGGAGGCAGAGCUUGCAGAGAGCCGAGAUGGUGCCACUGCACUCCAGCCUGGGUGAGACUCUGUUUCAGAAAAAAAAAAAAAAGAAAGAAAGAAAAAAGAAACUUAAUAAAUGUGCGCUGCCUGCAAUAGGAAAUAGGUCAGAGGCAUGUUCUGGGCAUGAGUGAGUUUAAUAUCAGCCUUGGACGAGGAGGUGAGAAAGAAGAAUGGACCCUGAGCCUGGCUUCCUGGAAAGGACAUACCAGAUGCAAGUGAAGAGAAGCAGACAGGGUUGAGAUGGAGGUCCUGAGUGGAAACAGAGGCUUACUGGAGGAGCUGGAGGAAAGGUUACUAAAUCAUCCAUGCAUACAUUCAUCCACUCAACAAAUAUUCACCCAAGUACCGUGCACGUGGCUCUGUACUGGGCAAUGGUAAAAAGACAGAUGCCCUUGAACUUCUGCAGCUCACAGCCACCAUCAACCAGUGCUUGGUGAGUGUUAACCUCCACCUUGGUCUUCUUCCGGCCCUCGAUCCUGAGCCUGCUGGACUCCUCAGCUCUUGUUGCCAUGGCCAUGAGUCUCACUGGUCACACAUGCCCUCUCCACCCAGCAAAGGAGAAAGUCACUCUCCAUCAUAUGAUUCCCAGGACUUUUAAGGGACUUGUUCUGGAUUAUGGCUGGGGCUUCAUGACUUUUUAAAGAUGUUUAACAUUUAUAGUUUUGAGCUGCACUCUGUACCCUGGCUGCAACUUCCCAGAGCUCAGGACCAGGCCUCAGGAGAAGGGAGCCUGGACGUUCAGGGCCCUCCACUACAGAGGAGUGGCUGGGAGUGUGCAAGUUUGGGAACCAGCUCCAGAAGCCUCUGAGCCCUUCUGUGGAUUGGGCUUGGAAGGAGGCCCCAGUAGGCAGGCAAGCCUUUACUCACUGAGGAUCAGGGUCUAAUAAGAUGGCCUAGCUCCGUCACUGUGGAAGCUGCCAGCCCAGCCUGUGCUUGAUGAAGCCUUUGGAAUUCUCAGGAGACUACUGCUAAAGGAGACUUUCUAUGUCAAGAAGCCCAGACAGUGUUCUCAUGUGGCCCGAAAGUCCUGAGCACCUACCAUGGGUGUACAGCAGCCCCAAGCCCAUAGGGAGCCAAAGGUGCUACAACAUCAGCAGCAUCUGAAAUGAGGCCAGGAUCUCUAAAAGCCACUGCAGAAAGGGAGUAGACAGCAUCGAAACCUACAUGUGCUGGCACUAGAGUGGGAUAACAAGAUUCAUUAUUUAAUCCUCAAAAUAACCCACUUUUACAGAUGAAGAAACCAAGGUCAUAGAGGUUAAGAAAUAAGAACCAUUCAGCAAAUAUGUGACGAUAUCCACUGUGUACAGGUACUGCGGCAGGCCUUGGGGAUAUCAAAGAAGGAAACAGACAGGCCUCUAUUCCUAUGGCGCAGGCAUCCUAGCUGGAGGUGAGGGACCAUAAAACAAUAAUCAAUACAAAAAACAAACAAGUUGGAGGUGAUUCAUACAGAGUGUGUACACACACAAGGUAAGGAGACCAGGAAGGGAAUGCCUGUCGUGGGGUGGGGGAGGGGCAUUUGAAGUCCAAGGAUCAGGGUGGACCUCACUGGAAAGGUGACGUGGUGGAGGUAAGCAUGCAGGCCCCAUGGAUACCCGGGGAAGAGCAUUCUAGGCAAUGGAGCAAGGAGUGCCAAGGCCCUGGGACCGGGGUGGUGAACAAGGGGGAGAGUCCCUAGAGAGGUGUUGGGGAGAUCAAGGGGGGAUACCAAUCCCGGGGUGGGUGGAGUGACCAUGGAAGCCUCCACAGCCAUUGCAGACUUGGGCUGUUACUCUGAGUGAAGCAGAGGAGCCACCGCAAGGUUUUCAGCACAGGAGAGUCACGAUGUGAGUCGUCUUUUACAGGCUCUCUCUGGCUGUUGGUUGAAAUACACUGUCGGGGGCAAGGGUGGAAGAAACACCAUCAGUUAAGAAUGCUGUUGCAAUAACUAGGUGAGAGACGACAGUGGCUUGGACCAAGAUGCACCUCGUGAUAUGUAGGGGGAGGGUGUUCCAGGCAGCAGACAUGGUGAGAAGUGGUCAGAUCCUGAAGAUAUCAGGAAGGAGGAGCCACCAAGGCUUCCUGAUUGAUUGGAUGUGGCAGAUGAGAGAAAGAGAGGGGUCAGGAGGUCCCCAAAUCUUCUUGGCCUGGGCAACUGGAAGGACAUGUUCAUUUCAGGCGGCUGUUAGAUAUCUAAGUGGAGACGUUGAGGGGCAGUGAGAUCUGUAAGUCUGGGGUUAGGGGAGACUACCAGGACGGAGAUAUACAUUUGCAAGUCAUGAGCCCAAGGUGGUAUGUAAAGCCACAAGACUGGAUGCAAUUACGGAGCAGUGAGGGUAAUUAGAGACUCAAGGAGGAGCUGGGACUGUGGCCACCCCGUGGGUAAGAGGCUGAAGAGAAGAUGAAUCAGUAAAGAAGACCCAGAAGGCAUAGCCAGGGAGGUGGGAUAAAAGCCAGAAAACUACAGCAUCCAGGAAGCCAAGUGGAAGAAAACGUUUCUAGAAGGCAGAGGAAGUGGCUCACUAUGUGCAGUGCUGUGGGUAAGACCUAGCAAGAUAGGAGCUGGCCGUUGGAUUUAGCCAUGACCCCUGGGUACCCAGCCGGUAAAUGGCAGCUGGGAUUCAAAUCCAGGUCUCCCCCACAAUCAAGCUGCAGGUUUUGCCUAUUUCACAGCCUUCAGAAGGGAACCAUGCAAAGGACCCUCCAUUUUAGAUACACCCACUCAUGCCUGGAGAGGAGUCUCCCACAUCUUAACCAGAACCCCAGAAGGCAAUUGAACAUAAAGAGCAGGCUUUGGAAUCAAGUGUGCUCCAUCCACGUCCUGGCCCUACUACUCACUGGGGCGGGGCCUCACGCAGGUCUCUAAGUGAAGAGACUUCCUUUCUCUGGGCCCUAGUCUCCUCACUGGGAAAUAGGAGUGGGAGGGACAGUAGUGCAGAAUACUUCAUGCAGUGUCCAGGCACAUGGUCAACAUUUUUUUUUAAAGUAGCCAUUACAAUGAUGAGAGAACCAGAGCAAGAACAAUGGAGGAGGCACAGGCAUCCCCCAUCAUCACUAGGCCUGGGUGAACCCCUCCCUUCUCUCCCUCCCGCUUGCUUCCUUAGUCAGCCACAAGUCACUCUUGAGAGCUUGUUGGCCAUGAGAUGUUUCCUGAGGGCCUGUUCUGAACAAGGCAUCUACUGCUGAGGCCAGUGGGCAGCAGCACGCCAGACCCAGAGGCACACCAGGGCCGUAGGCAGCGCUGUGGGAAUUUCUGUUCAGAACCAUGCCCAGGCUGUUGCUUCAGGAAGGGUGACAGUGAGUGGCACUCGUGUGCAUUUCUGGAGGGGAUGAAGGCAAAGAGGGGGCUUGGGCUCCUGCCCUGCAGAGGCAUGACACACUGAGGUCUCCCCCUAAGAUUACCUGGGGCUGUGGGUUAAUGGUCUGUUUCUGGGGAAUGACAGCGAGUGGUAUUUCCAGCCUCUGGAAAUGGUGCUAUGGACAGGGGUGAAUGAAGACAUAUGUGUGAGUGUGUGUUCAUGUGUGUGUGUCUUUACAUAUACAUGGGUGCAGGCAUACAGGUGAGUGGCCGCAUAUAUAUAUGGCUGUGUACACUCAUGGGGGUGAGCACAUAUGUGUGCUAUGCUGCACUAUGCCAGGCUACUCCUUGCCCAGUGUGGAGUCUAACAGAAGUGGUGGGCAAAGGCCCACAUCUGAGGGUGCCCUCCCAGGGAGGGCACACUGGAGCAUCGGGGUGAGGUGGAGAACAUGCCCCAGGGAUCCCGCUGGCUGAGCUGUCUCCCCACAUCACACUCAAGCAUGUGCUGCCACCUCCCCUGGCCUGGGCAGGACUGUCCCACUAGGACAGCCAUAAAUUGGUGGGAGAUUCCCACCUUGGUUUAUAUGGCCAAGUCCCUAGAAGCCUUUCCUGGGAAAGGUCUCUUAGACCUGGUGAUGGCUUCUCAGUCUUCACACUGAGAACUCAGGGUUGGAGGAGUGGGAAGUACUGGGCCACACUCCCAUGUCAACUAAGGCCCCUGAGCAAGGACUCCAUCCAUCCUGAUAAGGCUGGGGCUCUCUGCGCUUCCCUAUGCAAUCGACCAAAGUCAUAGCUGCCCACCUUCUGCCCUUGGAAAUGAAUCAUUUAAGAUUCCCCUUUCAUCUGGAACCUCUCAAACAGCCUCAUGAGCUGUGAGCCUGUCUCCCUAGGUAGAAUUUAAGGCAGCUGCAAAAUGCCUCGAUAUUUUCAGAGGCCUUAUUGUGCUUAAACUCGUUAGAGAGGCCAUGGAGUUAAUUAGUAUAUAGAUUUUCCCAUAGAAAGCUAAUUUUCAGAAUGAUUUGCAGCCACUGGAUCUGUAACAGACUGCAAUCCAUUUUCUUCUCAACUUUCUGUUUUUCAAAAGAAAAGUACAAAUUGUGGUGACCAGAUGACUUCUUCCAUGCCUCAGUCCCAGCUCACCCACCCCCUUAGCAGUCUGGAGCCCCUCCAAGGCUGGCUGCUUCUCCAUCAUCCUGCCCAACUCACUGGCUCUCUACCAUUCAUCUGCCUUUCCAUAAGCACCAAUGCAGGCUGCCUGAGGCUGGCUUGAGCAAGGGGAGCAGAGUGAGUGAGCUGAGGGUGCAUCUUUCAGUGGUGCAGGGUGCAGGGGUUAAGUGCAUGAAACUGGGUCAAAUAUGGACAAACCCAAGCUCUCCCUUUCUGGCAAGUUACUUCACCUCUCUAUGCUUCAUUUCACUCACCAGUAAGAUCAGGAGAGCAAUCAUGACCUCAUAAGAAGUGUUAUAAGAAUCAUUAUUAACAUUGAUUUUUUUAAAAGGUAACAUGGGCUGGGCACGAUGGCUCACGCCUGUAAUCCCAGCACUUUGGGAGCCUGAGGCAGGAGGAUCGCUUGAGCCCAGGCAUUGGAGGCCAGCCUGGGCAACAUGGUGAAACCCUGUCUCUACAAAAAAUUAGCUGGUGUGGUGGUGUGCACCUAUAGUCCCAGCUUCCUGGGAGGCUAAGGUGGGAGGAUCGCCUGAGCCUGGGGAAGCCAAGGCUGCAGUGAGCUGUAAUCAUGCCACUGCGCUCCAGCCUGGGCAACAGAGCAAGAUUCUGUCUAAAAAAAAAAAAAAAAAGGCAACAUGUAUUGCUGCUCCCAGUGUUCUAACUUAACUUCCAUUCCACUGAAAUUCCAUUCAGCAAACAUUUCCUGAGCACGCAAGAGCCAGGCCCUGCACUGGGCAAGCUCCCACUAUGCGCCAAGCCCCAUGAGUGCUUCCUUCGUGCCAUGCCCUAGGCUGGGUGUCACCCCAUAUACCAGCACCUAUGCUACGUAGACACCAACUGUCUACAUUGCCAGAUCCCCGAAUCGCAGGGCUUCUGCCUAUUUCAUGGGAGGAAACUGAAGCUCAUAGAAGUUAGAUAACUUGCCCAACAUCACACAGCUAGUGGGGGACACAAUAGGGCUUUGAAUCCAGGUCUGCCUAAUUCUAGAGCUCUAAAGAGAUGAAGUAACUUAUGGGAAGGGGUAGUUACUAUUAUUGUUAUUAUGAAUACAGCUACUACUCUUACAUUUUCCCCAGAAUUCUAAGCCUUCCCUUACAUUUCAUGGGAUUCUACCCUCCUGUGCUCCUAAUGGUGGAAAAGUAAGAAAAUCAGACUUUCAGCCCUGGAAAGUCCCCUAGAGAUCAUGGAAUCCAUCUCUCCCCCUUGGACAGGUGGGGAAGUUGAGGCCCAGAGAGGUUCAUAGGGCAACCAAGGGCACCCAAGGAGAGAGAGCAGGCCGGGCGCAAGGACUGUUGACCGCUGGCCAGCCCUCUUCCUCCACACGGAGCCCCCCGCCUUGCUGUAUCAGGACUUCGAGCUCCUCAGAGGGCCUCUCAAUAUGCAAAGCCAGGGGAAGAGCUGACACCUGACAGCCUGGUGAUGGUUUGGAUGGUUUCUGAAGCCCUCUGCUGAGUGAAGGCAAUAUUAGUCAUCAGAGAUCUACACGCGCCUGAGCAUCCUUGUCAGAAAAUGUGAUGACUUAGUGGACUGAAAAUGUAUUUCCCUGCCUUAUCACACAUCUGGA
rnacentral:lncRNA from 10 species